UCCGGCUUGCCACCGGCAGUCUCAUUAGAGUGCCCAACUAAAUGUAGCAACUAAUGGCAAGGGUUGCGCUCGUUGCGGGACUUAACCCAACAUCUCACGACACGAGCUGACGACAACCAUGCACCACCUGUGAACCAGCCCCAAAGGGGAAGGACUGUUUCCAGCCCGGUCCGGUCCAUGUCAAGCCUUGGUAAGGUUCUUCGCGUUGCAUCGAAUUAAUCCGCAUGCUCCGCCGCUUGUGCGGGCCCCCGUCAAUUCCUUUGAGUUUUAGCCUUGCGGCCGUACUCCCCAGGCGGGGCACUUAAUGCGUUAGCUACGGCACGGAACUCGUGGAAUGAGUCCCACACCUAGCGCCCAACGUUUACGGCGUGGACUAC
rnacentral:misc_RNA from 1 species